GAACGGUAGCUUCAAGCCUCGCCUGGUUCAAUGCCUUAACUGAUGAAGCCAAGAGAAUAGAGUGUAAAGAAACUUUGAUAGAUCCUUCUGCAGCAGUUUGAUUGAGGUCAGUGGUCCUAAAGGUAGCUUGAUGAAUGAUGUAUCAGAUCAUCAUCUCUUGCAUUUCAAACUUUGGAAGGUAGAAGUAUAAUUCACAUGGAAAAGUUAUUGUUAUUGUUGUUGCAGACAGUAAGUAGACGUUUGUUCAUGCACAACUAACAACACUUUCUCUGGUGCUCAGAUAUGCCUACUUACCGAUCUGAAGCUGCGAGAUAAUGAGGCUGUCAUGGAUUACAAUGACCAUCUUCGAUGGAACGAUGACCGAAACUUUCUGAAUCCCAUCCAAUGAGCUCAAGAUGUUCUCGAUCAGUGGGACUUCGGAGGGG
rnacentral:lncRNA from 1 species